AAAGUAGAUCAAGCGAUCGCCUUCCGCCUCCGGCGGAAAGAGGAAAGUCCGGACUCCAUAGGACAGGGCGGCCGCUAACGGCGGCCCCGAGCGAUCGGGGGAAAGUACCACAGAAAACAUACCGCCCUCCGCCUUCGGCGGUGGGUAAGGGUGAAAAGGCGAGGUAAGAGCUCACCGGUCCGCCAGUGAUGGCGGACGCUUGGCAAACCCCGCCCGGAGCAAGACCAAAUAGGAGGGUUGGGUGGUCCGCCCAUAGCCCUCGGGUAUGGUCGCUGGACCCUGUGAGCAAUCACAGGGCUAGAUGAAUGAUCGCUGUGGUUUCUUCUAGAAGCCACUACAGAACCCGGCUUACCGAUCUACUUUAGCC
rnacentral:RNase_P_RNA from 2 species